CUGGACUUCCUCUAAUGUCACACCAGAGUAAAAAUAUGACUUCAGCCUCUUUACGAUUAGUACAGCUCCACAUCCAGGUGAGAGCUAGUCAAAAGGAUGCUAACCGUCUAUGUCCAGCAGCAGUUUGUAUUCAGCAAAAAGAAAGAGUGAAAAAUAAACAGUGGAAAGAAGAAGGGGAGGACAGAACGAUUGUACAAGAGCAGGAACAACCAGGUGAGUAAACU